GCUCUCUAAAAUAGUUUUCAUGUCCUCCUGUUUACCAUCCUGAGAAAGAAAAAAAGAACUUAUAGAUCUUAUCCUAAAAAUGAGAAUCACAUUUGGCUGUGAAGAACUUGUAGAAGACCUUCUCACUGGAACUUCAGGCAUUUUUAAAGCCACGUACCAGCAGCCAGCAAAUAUUUAACCAACUCCAGGUGUCCCUCCUGAGAAGCCUCCAUGAGAGGUGUAGAACAGCCGAGUUCUAUGUCAGCCCCUGCCUUAAUCAAGAAAUCUGCAACUUCAGAAAAGCCUCCACAGCAUGCCAAGCUUAGGGACUAAGAUAUAGCCCUCAGAGAUUCCUGUCACCACGGCCUUGCUCUACCACCAUGGACUCGAAUCAUCUGGAAUUUUAAGACAGUAGACUCAUACAACAGCAGCAGUGAAAAGACCAGCACUAGCUCUGUAGUGGCUCCUUAGCUGAGAAAACAGCAGCCUCUCGGGUGAGUCAUUAGCUUUUUUUCUCUUUAAAAACACGUAUUUAAUCAUGUAUACUACUCUACCACAGUAUCAGUAUGCAGAGUUCAAAGGACAGCUCAUGACUUUAUUUUCUCCUUCUAACAUGAGUCAAACCCAGAUUGUUAGACUUCACGGUCUGACCUUUUGCCAUCUUUCUGGGCCAGAGCCAUUAAUUUCAAAUUCCAAACGUCAGAAAGAAAAGAAAGAUAGCUCAGUGGUUAAGAAAACUUGCUGCUCAUGCAGAGGAACUGAGUUCAGUUCCCAGCACUUGCCCAGCACUUGAGUUCACAGCCAUCUGUAAUUUCAUUUCAAAAAACCUGAAAUCCUCUGACCUACAAGCACCAGGCACACAAUAUGAUGACACAAAUAUGCACAUGCAGCAAGUAUUCUCACAUAUAAAAUAUUUUUAAAAAUAAUGCUGUCAUUAUAUAUAAAAUUACAGUGCUAGCCAGUUUGGUUAGAGUUUGGUUUUUCAGCCUUAAGUGUUAACAAUGAUUGAAAACAUAACUGAUGUAGAACAAAGGGACUACCUGUUUUCUUUGCUGUUUUCUGGUCUGGGUUGAAGCUUACUUAGCUUUUCUCAAAGCAUUAACUCACAGUAGUCAUAAUCUACAAAUGUAUUCAGAGUUUUUGUAUUUGAAAGGUGACAUCACACCUUUCGCUCUCCUAUUUGUGUUGACAGACACUGCUGUUAACAGACUAUAUAAAAGCCACUUAUGACGAGAGUUUAAUUAACCGGCCUGUGCUUCUUUGAGACAGGGUCUCACUAUAUGUCUCUGGCUGUCCUAGAACUUGUUAUGUAGAUCAUGCCGACUUUGAACUCAAGAGAUCUGCCCUUCUGCCUCCUGAAUGAGUUGGAUUAACUGAUCUUUUGCAAAGAUAAUUUUUUGCCUUUGUAAAAAAAUUGUCUUUUGAAGCAUUAGAUGGACAAGCUUUUAAAGGAUACUACUAUUCUGAUUCACAAAAAGAAUAAAGAUAUUUUUGAACAUGAGCCUAUGACAAAAGCUUUAUCUUGGUUUAAAAAAAAAAUCUAAAAAACAAACAAACCCCAAUCAUUAUAAAAUAACUAACUAAUCCAUUAAUUUUUUUUUUCCCUUUCUUUUAAGAUGGAGUCUUAUACUAAAGUCUAGGCAGCCCUCAGACUCACUACUUGCCCAGGCAGGCCUUAAACUCACAUCAAUCAUCCCAUUUCAGAUACAUCAGCAUGCCUAACUUAAAUCCAUGAGUCUACCCAUAUUGUCUAUUAAAAUGCAGAUCUAAAUCAAUACACCUGGGUUACAGUACGAGUUUCUUCUGUCUAUUUUAACUUAAAGUUCUUUUGAAAAAGGUUCUCUCAUACAGUUCAGGCUGAGUUUAAAUUUAUUAUGUAGCCAUGGCUGGCCUCAAACUGCCAAUCCUCCUGCCUCUACUAACUCCAGAAUACUAAGUAUUAUAGACAUAUGCCACCACACAUAGCCUAAGAUUAUACACUUCAAACAAGCUCUGAUGUCAAACUCAUACUCUACAGACAACAUUUAAACA